GGAUUGAAGGGACACAAUGUCGAGCAGCUUUGGAGAUGGAUAUGCAACGAGAUCGGAUGAAGAAGGUUUUGGAGGCAUCUAUGGAGGAAACAAAGAGGAUGAAGAAAAGAUAAUCCAUGGAAAAGCCCCUGAGUAUGAUACUAAUCAAGGAAGUGAAGUCAAAGAGAAGGAGAAGGCACGUAAUCAGCGUCAAGCAGCAUGAA